UUAAAAUUAAAUCAUAUUAAAUCAAUUUGAUUAAUUAAUUAAAACUUCAGAAAAUUGGCAGCACUGCGCCACCGCAUCCAGUUCUCAUGAAAAUUCGUCUGCUAAAGUAGUCAAUCUCACGUGUUUCGUCGGUUUUUCUGAAGGGUCACAUACGGUAAGAAUGUUAUCAUAGCAUAGUGUUAAAGUUUCAGCCACAGACCAUUGAUUUUUCUAUUAUUAUGAGAAUUUGAAAAAUAAGUCCGUUCACGCAAAAGUUUUGAUUGUUUCCCUAUUUCUCAAUCGUAGUACGUGUGCUAUCUUCGGUUGUCCCGCCCUCCUACAGCUACAGGUUGUUACGUGUUGAAACGAAAGAAGGCAAGUCAAGGGAAUGUAUGAAACAGCCCAGGGUUUCAAUAUUUGUGCUAGAAGUGAGAAAUGGUUUGUUGUGUUUAAUGAUGAUGAGAAGCUUGUGUUAUAUGUAUCUUUAACGGCCAAUGUUACCCCAUCAGUUAGCUUAAAAGACGAUUGCAAGUCUAACUAUCCUCUCUCUCUUUAGAUACUAUGUGUAACUGUUGAAAUCAGCAAGAAUCCAGAAAUGCAGUAAGAGUACCUGAUAAAGUCAACCCAUUCUCAUUCUACAUGGAUCCUAGUUGAAAAUUGGGCAACAAAAUAUCGCUGCUGAAGUAAAAUGCUACCCAGCAAAUGAGAAGAUCGUCGACGUUGGUGACGAAACGUAUGUGAGGGAUCGUUGACAGGCAGCCCAGUAUUCGCCUACGUGUUCCAGGUUCGACGGAGAGAAAGGUGGAGCAAUCUUCCGUAGCUUAUGUGCUACAACACGAGCAACGAGAUUAAACAGUUCCAGACCUACAAAUUUUGUUGUAAUAGUCGAUAUAUCCGCGUCGUUACAGAAAGGUGGAGCAAUCUUCUGUAGCUUAUCUGCUACAACACGAGCAACGAGAUUAAACAGUUUUGUUUACUACCGGCAAUGCUAGAUGGCGCUUGCGUAUCCUGAUGUUGUCAAACACAUCGUCAUGACACCGUGAGUUCUUUUUUUUGUUCAUUCGUAAUUUCUCCAAUUAGAUCGAAGGAGAGGAUAACUGGACGUUCGAUGAUAUACGAUACAGUUAACACUGAUAUUUAAAUUAUUUUGCUUACUUUGUUUGUUUCUAUUCUGGUUAUGCAGAAUGAAGUGAGAGAAUGCAGCCGUCAACGACACCGUCUUCAUUUACUUCCCUUGCAGGUUGCUGAUCGGUGAUACACAAUGAACAAGGUAAACUUGUAUCUUGAUGGCAGUGGAGUUUAACACAGCAUCUUGAGCAGACUCAAAUAGGAAAGCAACAAGUACAAUGACAACUCUCGGAGUUAGGAACAGCAUUUUGAGCAGUAGUACAAGAAAAAUUACCCAAUAAAGACUCAGGUAACUUUGGAUCACGACCGUCAUCGGCAAGAAUGUUGGUUCAUUGCAAAACUCAUGUUUGUCGAAAAACUGACAGCGGGAAGAAUUUGGAUAAUUUGGUGAUGAAACUCUUGCCAUAUGACAGUUAUACGUGACAAAGUUGACAAACGAGCUUGAGAUGCAUAAAAUAAUUCAAAAUUUGCGGGAAUUUGAAGAAUUAGGUAGGUGAAGGAGGUAUGAGAAAUCCAAAUGCGCCGUCAUUUUCAUGGUUCACGUCGAUCCGCGUCCAGCUAGUAUUCACCUAGUGCAGCUAACUCCCAAAAGCAAGCAGAGGUACUUUUGACUUUUUGACAUCAUGCUUCUCUUGAUUUGAGGUUAUUCUGCGCCGCUAUUCAAUGGAUUGAAUCCGUUGAACCUGACGAGAGAUGACAUCUCAGCGACGACGAACUGAUGUGCCG